CCACAUGUAGUCACUGCUCUGAAGAGCUUUCAAAUCAUUGAGGCAGGCAUAACUUCAGAGAAUGGAUACUGCAGCAGCAGAUUUUUUUUCUAAAGUGCAGCUGCUGAACCAUGACAUUCAGGAAUGAUUCUUUUUUAGAGAAGUCAAAAUUAUGUGCUCUUUGGGGUUGAAUGUACCAAAGAAUUCAGUAACCUUUUAAACAUUUCAGUCAGUCACUGGGUUUGGGGUGUUCUGUGUAUUCAGUUUUUCCUAUCUGGUUUCUAAAACCGUCGGCUCAGUAGACUUGGCAUCUUGACUUCACCUGGGAACACUGCAGGAUCUCACUGUUUGACUUGCCUGUAUGCUUAACCCUGCAGAGACGUGCUUGUCAGAGAUCAGAACAGUGCUGCACAGUGCUAAGGACAUUUCAGCUCUUCACACUGCCCUGCCAAUGAGGAGACUGGGGAUGCACAAGGAGAUGGGAGAGGACAGACCCAGGAGAGCUGACCCAGACUGGCUGAAGAGAUUUUCCUUCCUAUGUGGCAUCAUGUGAAGUUAUAAAUUCGGGGGACUUGGCCAGGCAGGGGAGCAGCCAUGGCUUGGGGAUGAGCUAGUGGGUGGUGAGCAAUUGCAUUGUGCAUCACUGAUUUUGUAAGUGUAUAUAUAGACACACAUACAGUUAUCACUACUAUUGUGUUUGGUUGUUGUUUUUUUUUUUCCCCUUUCCUUCUCUGUUUUAGUAGAUAGUUUUUAUCUCAACCCAUGGGUUUUAGCUUUUUUUCCAAUUCUUUCCCCCAUCUCACUAGUAUGGGGGAGUGAGCAAAAUGGCUGUGGUGCUGAGCUGCUUCUGGGUUAAACUACAUCUCUGUGAACAGCUGCUCUCCACCAGUCCCACUACAGUGGUUAUUGCUCUUGUGCCUGGAACAACCCAAUCCCACACAGUGUCUCCAUUCAGCUGAACCUCAUUUCUGGUAGAAAAUUGGGAAUCUUCAGAAACCAUAUACUCUCAUCCUGAAACUUGGAAUAGAAGUGUAUUUAAAUGGAAGCGUUUGUUCUUUUAAAACAAACACUGCAGAACAAAUCCAUUCUUUUCCCAUCCCAUCGCUUCUGUGGCUCACAGCUGCCUCCUGGUGUGCUCUUCUUCUUGAUUAGUAACAGAGAAGUCAGUGUAACAUAGAGGGUGCAGAUAAGUGAGUGCUAAGGAGCUGCUCUACACUGACAUCCCAGAAGGGCAGAACAAGGUUGCAGUGGGCACAGCUGUGAGGUGGCAGUGCAAGGCUGUCCCUGCUUUACCCAUGGCCCACUCCCCCUGCAGUGCUGGCAGUUUGAUGCACUAGCAUUUGCUGGCUGACAGGUCAUUUUUCACUUGGAAACAUACAGAGCAGCAUACGUGACAAAAUCUACAUCUAGAAACUGGCCAGUGUAACAUUUAUCUUUUGCCCCAAUUCGUAACUGAUUCUGACACUGCAAGUGAAGGAGUUCAUAUUAGUGAUCAGGGCAAUUGUAAAAGCUAUAUUGAUUUUUUCUAACCUGCCUGAUUUCAAAUGUGUUAUGCUAUUUUUUAUUGCUUCCUGGUUAGCUAAUGCUUCUUGGUAUUACUUUGCAACAUCCCUGCUUGCCUUGUACUGCUGUAGCACAGUGCAAUUUCCUCCUCUGCCCUCACAGGUAACAGCAAAUGGACAGCAGGCACCAGAUGCAAGACGUGCAGUUGUGCACAGCCUGCACACCUGCUCUAGCUGGUCCUAUUUGAGCAGGAUUUUGGACCAGAUGGACUCAGAAGUCUCUGGACAGCCGUGCCUCUCGUGGUGCAGGCUGACCUCAGCCCUGAAACAGUACAGCCCUUUGGGUGGCAUUAAUGCAAAAGCUGCAUUUUGUUCUGUGGCAAAAUAUGCACAGUAAAUCAUCAUCUCACCGUCCUCCAUCCCCAGUAUGGCAGAGUGGAAUGAAGGAGAGCACCAGGAUUUGGAGGAAUAGCUCUCAUAACAGAGAACAUCUCUUUAACCCUUCUGCGGUCUGCGCACAGGAUUUUGUUUAUUUCUUGUGUCACUACUGGAAUAACAGGCAGAGGAAGAUACGUUCUCCAUCUGCUAUGUUUCAUUGCUGCAAAGCUGGGAAGGCUUGUUCCUACUGGCAAUUUAUUGGAAAAUAUCUAACACUAGACCAAAAUGCAUGCAACUAUUUUAUACUCCAGGCAGUCUCAUCUGCAGAGUAGAAUCAUGGAAUCAUUAAGACUGGAAAAGACUAGAAAAGAAAUUCUUCCUAAUAUCCAGCAAAGUUAACGUAAAUCUGAAAAAGUGAAAAUACCUGAUUCAGAUGGAUACAUAAUACUGUUGCUAUCUAACAUUUCCCUUGUUGAUUUUCCUGCUGCCUGGUAAAGUUCAUAUGCUUACAAAAAGAGUUCAGUGAUUGACUCAUGAUACUGCUGCCACGGUUUAAUAAAGAACUGAAUUGAACUUUUUCACAAUUACAUUGUAGCAGGAAGCGGCACCAGAGUUGAUUGGUCGAGUGAUGAUCGAAAAUGGUAGUGUUGAAUUUCUCCACUUGGUGGCACUAAGAAAUAACACAACUGCCCUUGUAACGAGGCUGUGAAACGUGGCCAGGUGGUUGGGGAUAACUGAGCACAGUGACCCUGGGAAAGGAAGACAUCAAGGAGUGAUCUCAGGCUCGUGUCUGCCUUGGGUAAGAGGGGCAGCGGAGGCUGGAUCACCACUGGAAGAAGAUGCUCCAACAAUGUGAGCAGGAGAAUGGUGUAUGCAGAGCACUGGAACAUCCUCUACAGUGCUCAGACAAUUUUCUUUCUUGGAAACACUCUCAUAAUUGUGUUUGAUCCCUUUGUCUGAGGCAACCGAAUGUACUGAGGGGAAAAAUAUGUGGAAAUCACUGAUGCUGCCAAUUACAAAAGUGAUUAUUGAACUGAAGGUAAGUCUCUUCUGCAAGGGGAAAAAAUAGAGAAAAACUGUGAUGAGCCACAAGAAGGAGCAGUGUCAUAUGUUGUACUAAUACCCAUACAAGUUUUCUUCAUGAAAUUUUCUAGUGUAUUGCCUUUUUUCAUCCUUGAAAUAAUCUUUGAGAUGUAAGAGAGACUAUACGUUUUGUGAUUCCUUCUGAAGGAUACCACAAUAAGAAUGAUCACAUUUCUCUUGAUUACAGUAAAAUGUUUAUCCGCCAUUCUUCUCUUGAUCACAGUAGUAUGUUUAUCUGUCGUUCAUUCCCUAAAUAUCAAUUUUCAGUUAAAAGAAAUCAAAAUUAAAUAAAAACUACUAUGGUGCAUUACAACGUGCCAAUCUGUAGAAGACCCAUGCAAUGAAGAGGUAUGGAGAGUAGAUCCCUCAGAGAAACCAAGAAGGAGCAGUGAAAACAGAUAUACUAUAUUGUGGCAAUUAUGUGUGCUGUUUAGGGGAAAGGCACCUGGAUACCAAGGAUGAAAGAAAAACUUCAAUUGCCAGAUUCAUGGUCACACAAUGAUAACUGUUUCACAGCUGGCUAAAUGCUAUCCUACAGUCUAAUCUAAAGCCUUUUGAAAGUAAUCAGUCUUUUCAUCCAUUUGAACAAACCUUGGAUCAAGCCUUUAACCUGCUCUCUCAGGAGAAAAAGCUGAUAGACUUUUAUAUAUAUAUUAUUGUUAAAAAACAGGGAAACUACUGAAGUGUUCAUUAUAUACAAAAAGGGUGGGCAAACUCUUUUGCACUUUACAUUUACAAAUUGAAAACUGACAGGAAAACCCAGUGGUGAUCUUAGAUAUUUAGCAGAAACUUAAAACUGCCACUGACUAACACCUUUUUUUUUACUGCGAGUAACCACUAUAGAUCAUAGGAAAAGAAAUACAUUUGCCAUAAAUUUAUAGCACCAAUUUGUUGUCAUGAGUGUUAUGCAGUGAGAAAUGAGGUUUGCAUGAAACUGAAAUUUAUAGGCUUUAUAGGGGAAGAAAAAAAGCUCUGUUACUUGUCACCUCGGAUCUAACUUUAGCGCACAGCACAUUUUCAGUGACAGCUUGUAAUGCAGAUCAGAUAAUAUGCUCAAUGUCAUAGAAAUGAUUCAAGGUGUCAAAACAAAGCAUGAUUAUUAAAACAAAUCAGAGUGAGGAAAAAAAAUGUAAUAGAACAAGAAAUGAGCAUACCUACAAAAAGUUAUUUUGGUCUACAUCUUUUCUGAGAGCUACAGUAAAAUGGUAGCACUUAGCACAUAAGUUUCUUUUUCAGUACUGAGCUCUGUUUGUAACAUAGAAAGGUCUUUAAACACACUCAUACCUAAAAACAUUUGGGAUGAAACAGUUUCAGGUAUUUCCUUAUCUGUAUUUUGGACUUUCUUUGAGUUACAUAUAUUCUCCUUUAUAGGAUAGGUCUUUGUGACUGUAUGGGAACUGCUGAGUCACGGCCUGACCCUCUGAUUGAUCACCUGUGGUGAGCAAUGAGUCAGGCACAGGAGCACAGGUGAAGGCAGUUCACCUGUGCUGCUGGAAGGGGUGGAGCCUGGUUCUACCCCUCCUAGACCCAUUUAAGAGCUGACUACCAGUAGGAAAGGAGCUCUUCUGGAGAUCCCUCUUCUGGAGUUUUGUGGUGAAGCCAGGGUACAGGUAAGCUUUCUAUCUAUUCUCUUUUUGUUAUUAUAAUCUGCUUUGCCAAACUCUCUUGCUGUGCUUGCCUGGACAUCAGCCUGUAUUCACCCAAAAAAUCAGCUGGUGUGGAAAAGUAACACCCAGAUUAUUUCUUGCGAUGGAGCCUGGACCGUUGUCAGACUGAGAAAGCAUGAAAUAAGGCUAAGUAUUGACAUCUGAUUAGUUAAGGCAAUUUGUAUCAGUUGAUGUAAUAGCGCUCUUCUUCAAAUUAGUAAAAUCAUACUGAUUUAAGACUAUCUGGGCUGGCCUACAUCUGAAAUUCUUCCAUGUUUUACAUAUUCUGGUGAAAAAAUGAGAUGACCUCAUUCAGGUAGAUGAUCUGUUUCUCAUAUCUAUAUGAAAGAAAUAUCAAAUGUCUACUUAAGUGUGCAAAUGUUACAGUAUAGAAGAAAAAGUAUGCUUGAGCAGUCUGCAGAAUGGUAAUGUUCUCUGCUUCCCUGGAAAUAAAUGCUAUCUGCUAUUCUAAUAUUGAUAUUUUUUUUUUCAUUCUUUGUCAUAUUUAGUCAGGCCCUUCCAAACUAGCUGUCAGCUAUUCUAACAAAGGCUGAAACAGGAACAGAAAAGAGCUCAAUGAAAGAUGUGUCUAUGGAAAAUAUUACAGAUUGUGAACUGGUUAUAUGCCCCCACUAGAAACAAAAAGCAGUACUGAAUGACAAUUAUUACAAAAAGAAAACCAGAUUGUGGGCCAGAUGGUCAGUGAGUAUAGGUAGAAAUAAACUGCAGUAAGUAGAAGGGGCCUGGUCCAUGGCUAUGCCUCUGUGCCACAAGGGAACAUUGUGGCUCAGCAAGAUGGCGUGAAAGACAGUCUUUCCCUUCCAGCUGUUUUUCUCUUUAUAACUAAAGUAGUAACUAUUUCCUGUGCCUGAUAUUCCCCUUUAUAAACACUUAUUAAUUUGAGAAAAAGCCUUUGCCAUUUGAGUAUUAAUAAUGUAUAAAGUUCUUUUUACCUGGUUUUAUACCUGCUCUUCUUGCUCCCUUCAAACUGCCUUGAUUCUACUUUCUGUGUCUGAGCUGCUGUGUUGUAACUCCCUAACCUCUGCCUGUGUUUCUCUCCUCCUUUCAUUUUCAAAUUGCCAUUUAUUUCAUUACUGAUAAGGACUAGAAGCCAAAGUUAAUCUGAAGCAUGCCCCCCUUUAAAUGUCCAGGAGUUCAUUUUGAGCAGAAAUAGUGUCAACAUCUUUCAGCACUUCAUAUUAGAACAUGUGCUCAUGAUUUGAGUUUUGGAAUGAUAGUCUCCUACUGAGAAUAAAAGGACUCCUGAGUGUUAGACAUGCAAGUCCAAUAAUCAGGUUGAGAAAAACCAGGAGCCAGAACACACACACAAUGUCUGCAAAUAUGUAUGCAUUUCCCUGUUCCCAUUAGAAUUUUACUCCCAUUUAAUUUUAAUUGCUGUCUAACCUAGUAGAAUACACAUGCAUAGGUCAUACCCUAUGUUUUCGUAUAUGUUCUUCCUAGGAUCUCAUCUUAUGUUGAAACUCAGUGGUGAAUGCCUACUGAUUAGGAAGAGUUUCCCCCUCUUUUAGGAGGAACAUAACACCGGGAGUUAAUUGAUAUGAAAUUUUGCAGCACAUGCAAGACUUUUGAUAAAUGUCAGCACAGAAGUUAAUUUCAUCUGUUUCAUAAACUUACUGUUUUCUUUCAGUGCUUUUCCCCCCCUUUUAUUGCAGACAGUAUGUUCAUUCUUCUCUUAAAAACCUGUUUUUUUUCCUUUAUUUUCUCAGUUCAUGUUGUGAUUCUGUUCUGUUUUCCCCCUUCUUUCAUUUAUUUCUCUCUCUUUGAGCCUUAGGCCAGCCUUUUUUUUCCCUUUUGAUUUACGUUUCUUUCUCUAAGCGUUUUUCAUUCCGUUCUCUCUUUUUCUCAAUCUCUUUCUUUUUCUCUUUUUUUCUUUUUUAGUAAUUAAACAGAAAAAUAAUUGUUGCCUUCCAAAUUCUAUUUGAGGUUAUUUUCUUGGCACAUUAUAAGUCAGAGUAGCUUUUUUUUUUUGCUUUGCUUUCUACCUUUUUGCCAGCACAAACUGCAAAAUUGCUCAAUGAAAUGAAGCUUAUGAGAUUCCAAAUCUCUGAAGUAAUGUCUAGGGAAAGAAAACAGUAAUUUGUUUUUCCUGAGUUAUCUUAAAUUCACCUGUUUUGAAGUCUCUCAAGGAAAGAAAAUUCUAUACAUGAAAUCUCCAAGUAAAAUUCCUAUUUCACAGUGAGCUCUCCAGAUGGGUUAUCAGCCUGGGAUCAGUUACCAGACACUUUGCUGAUGCAUGAGCUGGGAUGAGUAUGAAUAACAUAACUUAAAUGAAGUGUUAAUAUAACUUAAUAAUUUUUCUUGAUAAAUUUCAUUUCAAUUUCCACUAAUUAUAAAUAGCAGCUUAGACAAUUAAUUGUUCAAAUGAUUGUGAUUAAGUUUACUUUGAAGAAGGCAAGACAGGUUAGAAAACAAAAAUAUCCCAGAGAAAAAGCAGAAAGCAGAUGAAACGUAUGUAUUUCUGAGAUCUCAGCUAGCCUGGGGUUACUCUGGAAAAGGUGGUCCCAUGCAGAAUAGACAAAGGAAGAUUAUUUCAUCCAUCUUCAUCAGAUCUAUGGAGAUUUCCAAAGACAGGUGCUGGUUUUGGUGCAGGAUAUAUCACACAGAAUCUUCUCCCAUGGGAGGAUUUGUACAGAAUGGAGCAGGGCAGGCCAGCAGGAAAACUCCCAUCCCAGCUAUGAUGCAAUUGGUUUGUUGGCCAAGUGACUAGAAAAAUAGCAUCUAGCUAGAUGUCAGAGCCUGCAAGGGCUGUGAGUGCCAUCCCCCGCUGUGGCAAUAGAAAAAAUUCUGCUACUUCAAUGAAACAUCAGUCAGUGCAAGGUUGGAGGGAGCCUUACAGGCCAAUUGGGAUCACAAGGUAGAAUUUCUUUUCUGCAGUGGAUACUAGUAAUGUGCCAGGCAAACAUCUUUUUUUUCAUGCAACUCAUUCCUAUACUGAUAAUAAGAAUAACAAGAUAAGCUACAGAUUUGGGAACCUGCCUUUUUGCACAUAAAUGCUGGGAUAGUUGAACCUGGGAGCAUCUUUCUUUACACAGGAAAUGAAUAAUAUCUAUUGUCAUUAUUAGCUGUACUAUCCUAGAGACAUAGGUUCCUUACAGCUGGAAGGGACCUUUAAUGGUCAUCUAGUCUAAUUUCCCUGCAAUGAACAGAGAUAUCCACAGCUGGAUCAGGCUGCUUAGAGCCCCAACCAGCCUAGUCGUGAACGUCUCCAGGGAUAGGGUAUCCACCAUAUCUCUGAGCAACCUGUUCUAGUGCCUCACUACCCUCACUGUGAAAGACUUGUUCCUUAUUUCCAACCUAAAUCUGCACUUUUUAAGUUUGAAAACGUUUUCCCUUGUUCUGUCACUAUGGAUCCUCCUGAAGGGUCUGUCCUUUCCUAUGGAUCCCCUUUAGAUACUGAAAAGCCAACUCGACCUUCUCCAGGCUGAACAGCCCCAGCUCUCUCAGCCCUUUCUCACAGAGGACGUGUUCCAUCCCUUGGAUCACUUUUUGUGGUGCUCCUCUGGACACAAUCCAACAGGUCUAUAUCUUUUCCAUGGACUUCACAUCUGGACACAGUAUUCCAGGAGCUGUCCCAGUGAAACAUCUAGUUGAACAUGUGAGUUCCAGCUAAAUACAAGCUUUCCAGUUCAGUGUCACUGGGACUUGGGCCUUUGUAGGUUUGGGACUAGACAGCAAAGCAAUGUGAUUGGAGCAACAGAGACAACUCCAUGUAAGGGAUUGCAAUCUCAUACGAGAAGGCAUUUGCAUGUUUCAUCCAACAAAUAGAUAGAGCCAUAAUAAUUAUUAGCUUAUAAAUGUUAUGGAACUAAUAAUCAUCUCACAUUAAUUUGACAAAGUAUUUUUCAACAAUGGAAAUGGCUGUUUGGCUCCAGAGAACAGAAGUUUGUUAGCAUCCAUAUUAUUCUAUUUGAGGAUGCAGGAAUGCUUUUGAAUAAUUAGGUUUCCAGAAUUUUUAUGUGUGUAUAUACACACACACACAGGUAAAAGUACUGAUUUAAAAAGUCCAACUACCCUACAGUUUCCACAAUCAGCAACAAAUCUUUUGUAACAUUUCAUUGCUUUUCAUACUCCUGUGUCAGACACUGCUGUCGUGUGGAUAUUUUCAUCUCUGCCUUUAAGUGGGAAGAUUUCUGUUUAUACAGACGUAUGAAAUAACUGGAAGUUGAUGAAUUAAAACAUCAUUCACUCAAGAGAAAAUGACCUUCUUCUAAAGACUGAUGGAACAACCACAGCAACUUCAAGAAAUUGUUUACCGUUCUCUGGAUGAUCACAGCUUGAUCUGAUUUUGAUCUUUCCAUAUUUUACACAUAACUUAUUUGUAGCAGACCAAUGGAAAAGCGGAUGUUUAUUUGUGCGAUGUUAAGUCACUGUUCUCUAGUAAUUCCCUCUUUUAAAUGCAUACACAUACUGAGUAAUGUAAAUAACUAUUUUCUAUGAUUAUUUACAAUCAUAAUCAUGAGGGGCCUAUUGGUUUUGCUAUGUUGUUUUGGAAGCAAUUUGAAAUCCUAUUAAAGACCAGGAUCUUUUGGUACCAAAAUACAAAAUCUGUUCUCAAAAGAUAUAAACAGUUUUCAUUCCAGUUCAUACUUAAAAAAAAAAAGCAAUUGUGGAGGCUGCAUGCAUGUGGUCAUCAAAAUAAUUUGUAACAAAAAUAGCCUGUAAUCAAGUAUUUACUGAUUAUUUGUAACUAGUCCCUUAAAGGCUGACAAGCCUACAAUUCUGACAGAUUUAAUACAGAGUUAUGUUCUUCUACCUCCAAAAAUUAUUCUUGUUAUGGAGUAUAAUAGAUAAUGAUCUGUAGAUCCUUAUCCAAAGUUGAUAGACAUCUUUCUCCAUGAACUCUACUACUUAGUACCAAUCAGACUGCAAUUUACUGCAAUGCUUAAGGGAAAAAAAAACAACAACAGUAUCCUCCUCUUUCAGAAAAAUCAGUGAAAAUGGCAGACUCUUCAGCUGUAAGAAAAAGCUACCAAAAAAGGAAAUUUUCUAGACACUUCAAAGUUCUCUCUCUCCCUCCUCCUGCUUUUUUUUUUUCCCUUCCAGUUCCAGUCUUUGCAGAUACUGUGCACUAUUAUUGAAGGAAUCUACAGUAUUCUCACUUUUAAAGAUUUUGCUUGGAACACUCAGAUAUUCAGAUGGCAUCAUACAGAAGACAAAAAGACCGUUUUCAUUAUAGGGCUGCUUCUCUAUCUGCCAGACUGUAUAUCUUGUUUACUGAAGUGUCAUUUUUAAGAAAGUCUUUAGAAUCAUUGAAGAUUCUGAAUUCCUGGCUCCACACAGGACCACCUAAAAUCCAAACCGUGUGUGUGAGAGUGUUGUCCAAACGCUCCUUGAACUUGGUGCCAUGCCCACUGCCUACUGAUGAAGAACCUUUCCUUAAAAUCCAUCCAUGCAUGCCCUGUAGAUAUGUGGGAGCAGGACAAGACUUUCAGGUACCCACGCAGCCCUGUCUUCACCAACCUGAGACUCACAUCUUUCAAAAGUGUGUUUCCAGUGCUCAAGCCUAUGGGGAGCUUUCAGGCAAGAGAUUUUCCUUUGCAGAGUGACUUAACUUUGGGCCCAAAUAGGCUGUCAGAAGACUGGAGUGCUAAAAAAGGCAGAACCUUCAGUAGCCCUCUCUGCCCCUCAGGGAUCUGUGAGACACGGGGCCACAGCUGCCACUCGUCUCCCUUCCAGCAAAAGGACUCGAAUUCACAGAGGAAAAAUUUAAGUUAGUUCUAUCCUGGUACAGAAACAGCCAAAGGCACCAUAGAAGAUGUUCAGAAUUACUCUUUGCAUCAUCUGAUUUCUUUAUACAUGGCUCCUAAGAAAACUUUACAUAUGAACUGAACUUCAAGUCAGAUUUCAGUGGUAAUAUCCACCACCCUUACAUUUGCAAGUUUGAGGCUUUACUAAAAAGGUCUUAAAUGUAGUUCUUCUAAACUGGAAGAAAAUUUGCAUUCUUGCAACUACCAAAAUGAUGCCAGCUCAAUAAAGCUCAUUUGGAUCCUCCAUAUAUAGCAUCAAAUUGCUGAUUCCAAACACUUUCUUCCAGACAAAUGACUUAUUUCCCACAGGGAAAAGAAAAAUGCAGAUAGAAAUUAAAAGAAGUCAUUCAGCAUCUUCAGAUGUAUUUUUACCUUGAAUCUGUUUUCCUCUAGGUUUUUACUUUUAUUCUUCCAAGAAAGAAAUGUCUUUCCAUUUCAACACUUCAGCUAUACAUAUAUCAUAAUAAUUUAGCAUACAUUCCUCUAAUCUUUGAUUAAUGUCUUACCUUUUACUUAAAUACCAAUUAGCAUGAAGUCAUCACAGUAAUUUCAGUUGAAUCCCCAUAUCACUGACAUAUUGUUAAUGAGGACAUGAUUAGCAUCUGAAAUUUUCAAGGGAUGAUUGCUGAACUGUUUGGAUUCUUCCCAUCAAGACAGACUCUCUAGUUCUUUUACAGAUCCUUUUCUUCGAUCUGAGUCUAUAAGAAUCUGCAGACAGGAUUACCUCUUAUGGAAACACAGGUAACAAAAUUUUUUAUCUUCUAAAAUACUGCUUCUGAAACAAAUUUUACUUUCAUUUACAUGAAACCACAUGCAAAUCAUAUACAGUCUAAAAUGUUCUUUUCAACAAAAAUAGUCCUCCAUAUGCUUUAGUUGAUUUUGUUACCUGCUCUAUUAAGUUCCAAGUGCCAGAAUUAAAUGACUGACAGUGCAUUUGUUUGUUGCAAAAACUGUCAAGAUCCACUGAAAAUCUCAAUAGUAUCUAUCUCUGAGCAUGGCAAGAAAAUAACGCUGUCUGUAUUCCCCUACCUCUGUUCUCUUAUAUGUUAAAUAAGAACAAUGCUGACUUGACAGAGCUACAAUUUGAUACUUGAAUUCAUUAGUGUUUGUAAGAUACGGUCCGAAGUCAAGUUUGCUGGAAGCACUGCUACCUUAAGAAAUAUAAUCUCUUCCUGUCUUUGCCAAAAUCUUCCCAGAACUAGGACUGCAGUUUUAACACUAAAAGAAAAUCUGUGCAUGAGGUAUUGUUUCGAGGUAUUGUUUCACUACCUUGUGCCUCGUUAGCAUUUUUUGUCCCUUUCCUUGCAAUCCUGGUGUUCUUGGACAUGUAAGUAUGGACUAACAUAAUCUGCUCAGGAUCUGCAAAAAUGGGGAAGAUGAGCUCACAGAAAGCUGUGUGCUGCUGUGUUACCAUGUCUGCAUGAAGGAGCUCAGAUACUUUUGCUUUGAAUGCAAAUCAGGUCAGUUGUCAAAGCAGUCUCCUGAUACCACUGCCGAGGCUUUGCCAUUCCUGCUUCUUCCUGCUGCGUUGAUUCGUAUCUUUCAGGUACUAGUGGUAGAGGCUCACUGUCUCAGAUAAAGAAAACAUCAUUAUUAUUCACCUCUUGCCCUUUCUCCUAUUGUCAUUGACCCUGUGGGUGUUUAUAAGUGUUAAUGAGGACUGACCUGUAUUUUUGGCAGGGUCCGAUAGUCAAAGCACCAUGAGUGCAGCACCCUGUGCUUUGCCUUGUUUAGCAUAGUUGAUAGUAUUGUGAAUUUACAUGGCUUUGUUACUCUCCUUGCACUGUUUAAUUGAACGAAAAUUACCUGAGGUUCGCUUUAUCCCUUGUACUGUGUAAGCAACCAGUAGACUUGGAUCCUUUUUACUGCUUCUGUUUACUGAACUUGUCUUUCUCCUGUGUUAAUUACUGAGAUGUCCACUUUAAGUACCCCUAACUGUGGUCCUAAAUGUGAAUACUCUUGUAUAUGUUACUUACAUUAAGCAUGUGAAUAGUCCUACUGAAAUCCUAAAAACAGGAACAGCUUAAGUUAUGGAUUAUUAUAAUGCAAUAUUUGAAUUAUUUCCAGGUUACUAGAAUGCUGUUUCAUAGGACUGAGAAUGCCACAACUUAUCAGCUUGCUCAUCUGUACCUCAUACUUCAUUUUACUCAUCUGUAAAUAAGAUAUUCUUCAUCUUAUUUAGUCCCUAUCACAGCAGCAACUAGCAGUGUUAUUAGAGGUUUUAUGCAAUGCAAAUAAAGUAUAGGAGUCUCUAAAUAAGGUCUUAGAUAUUUAUUAGAAUAUUAGCUACUAUAAUAAUUGAAGCACUGGGGUGAAUUUCACAGUAAUUGUAUUAAUUUAAAAACUGAAAUAUUUUCCUUGUUUAUAAGGUUAUGCCUGCCCUGUAUACAAAUUUUACACUGUACUGUACAAACGCAACACCUGAGUGCUGAAAGCAAUCAGUUAAACUGUUAAGUAAGCCACAGGGGUUGAGAGCAGAGGAACAGAGUUUGAAGAGCAAUUACUGAAGAUGAAGAAAAAGGCAAUUUAGAAAGCAAAUUCAAGUAUAGUUCAAGUUUAGUCAAGGAGAAAGAGAGGGAAAAAACUCAGUGUAUUACAAAUCUAGAUUUUUGUUAGUUCCUUCAAAGACCCACACUUCAGUUUGUUUAUUUUUAAAGUCCUCUACAAUUAAUGCAAAGAGAGGUCUGCCAUUCCUGCAUGGAUCAUCUAUCCUUAAAAUCAAUGUCUAAAAUAUUACCCUUUAGUGCUCUUUCUCUCUCCCUCCCUCCAUCAUGAGUAAAGGAAGAUGUCUUAGAAAGAUAGUUUCUACAAAUGGCUUACUUCUGAAUAAAUUUACAUGAAAAAAUUCAGUCAAAAAAGCCCAAGGAAGUUACAGCUUGCUCAGUCGCUUGAAUGAGGAAUGUCCAGGCAGCAAGAUUUUCUUUUUUUGCAGUUUCUAAUACUAGUACAAAAUGUGAAUAUUUUCACAGAAACUGUGGUAUCUUCUUGAUAAUCUAUUUUUGCAUCAGACUGUACUCAGAAAAAUAGUAUAGUCAAUAAGAAAGUGGAGUUCACACUGCACAUUUCCUGGCUUGUAAAUCAUAAAUAAUAGGAGGAGACACUUGUGCUGAUAUCUACUCCAGGAGUUGUGGCUCAGCAGGUUUGUCUCCCAACAGAGUCCUUCAGCAUCCCAUGCUGGGGUCCUGGUAGUAGGGUGCUUCUCUCUGAACCAAAGGCGCCAAAUCUAGCCAGGAGACACCAAGCUCAAGAAUGUCGUGCAAGAGAUGUAUAUUUUCCAACCAGAGAGGUGACUCAUGAACACCAGCACAGGCACUAGCACCACUUUUUUUUUUUUACAAAGUGAAGUGAUGGAGAGGUAUAGAUUUGCUGAGAAUUCAGAAUGGCUUGUCUUCUUGAAGAGCUGCAGUGAUAGACCAAAAAUGCUUGGCUCUGCCUUCGGUCACACAUCUCUUCAGGCCUUAGCUAGCCAUCGUGGGGGUGCCCAAAGUGCAGCAGAUGCCUGCAGGCUUACACGAGUCCAUUUUCACUCAAGGUAGCUCCUGGGACAAGAAGGCAGAGGCUGGGAGGCUCCAGGUCUGCUCUCAAGUAAAUAGGAAAAAAGGAGAUAUGCUGAUUUAAUGUUGAGCUUUCCAUUCAAGAGCAGCUGAGCAUUGAGGGUGGAAGAGAGAACCAGGAGCAGCUUUUUGUGGUUCACAGAUCUUUAUCAAAUCACACAAUGGACCUCUUUAAGAAAAGAAAGAAGAAGUUUGCCUGCAGAAUGAUCAUUAAAACAUCUGAGCUCCUUUAUGUCAAUUAAAAGCUUACUUCUCAACUUACAGGUCACGUCCUAAAUCCUACAAAUGUAUUCACUCAAGAAAGCAGAUUAGAUUGAUAGAAUGAGUAAGAACUUGCAUCACUGGGCACUGAAUUAUUUGACAGUAACAUUUUAAAACUCAAUUCAAGUGAUCUUUCAUUAUAAUACAUGGUUUUGGGAAGUGGAAAGUGUUUUCUAUCCACUGCUUAAUUCUCAUGGAAAAAUUGUUCCAUAUGAAGAGUAAUUUCCUUCCUACUUGGAGUGAAAAAGAGAAAUGAGAGAAAAGCAAUUUAGCUCAUUGAGAAAUCCCAGUUGCCACAGUCUGGGCAUUUUAGGGGGAAAGAUGAACUUUCAUUUCAAUUCUAGAGGUGUGGAAUUAACAGUAUUUUUCUGUAGAAAUCUACAGCUCCUAUAUAAUAAAAAAGUUUGUUUUCUUAUAAAAAUCAGAACCUAUUUCUUAAAAAAAAACUCUGAAAGUCCUUGUCCUCAACCUGAUUCAACCAGUUCAAAGUGUUUUCUCCCUUCCAAACUGCCUCUGUUCAUAGUUCUAUUGACUAAUGCAGUCAUUCAUCUGUUUGAAAAGCAUGGUGCAUUUGACAAUGGAAGACUAUGUUUCUUGAGUUUUUGUUCUGUUGAGUGAUAUUGAUCAUGGCGUUUGAAAGCACAAUGUGCCUUUAUCCCUUUUUAUUCUUUUCUCUCAUAUAUUUUGUUAUUUUUCAUCUUUGAAUAUGUCUGUACAACAUAAUGCAGUGUCUUAGAAGUAUAUUCAACUUUCCUUGGGCACCAAAAGCUGUAUAGAAGCAUUAACAGAGCAAUCUGGAUAAGCUAAUUGGCCCAGCUGAGAAGAUACGUUGGUAGAGCAUCACAGUGUUACAAGAGCAUUUAUUGAUCCAGAGCUAACUUGCAGGAUAUUUCUGAGCAAUACUGCAGCCCUCAUCUGUUUACUUCAGGUCUUGUUUUUUAACAGUGACUGUAUCAGAGGCUUCAAAGAGACAAAACCUCAGCACCUUGAGAAGGAAGAUGAGGGUGAAGAGGCAGAAGGGUUUCAUAGAGAGUACUUUGGUCUGCUUUGGCUGUCAAGUCUACUGCCAAAGUUCGUUUCUGGAAAGUGUUGAUGAAAACUGAAAUUAGCUGCCUUGGAAAGGAUUGUGAAAAUUAAAUCUUUUAAUCUGUAAAGAAUGUUAUAGUUUCAGAAACCAUUCACGUUUUCCAGAAGUCUCCUCUGAAGGAUACUGUUCAACAUACAAAAUACGAGCAUUUUGUUGCUAAUGGUGACUGCAGCAAUUGUGUUCAUCUUGAAGUUAAACAUUCCCAAGAUGCCUGUUCUUUUGUAGCUCUACUUCUUGGCUAGUCCAAGAAGAGAAGGAAACAAGGAAGCCAUUUGUAAUAUCCUGAAGUUCACAGUCCACCAUCAGCAUUUUCAAUUUUGUCCAUUUUUAACCUUGUACAGGAAGGAUCUCUUCCUUGUUAUCCCCCCCAAAACUGUUGGCCAUCACUAGUGACAGCUGCUACAUUUAAGACCACAGUCAUUUUUUUGUAUUAUAUGUCUUUGUGAAUGCCACCUCUCAUGUUCACUCUAUGACCUGGAGUUAUCCAACCUCUGGAAGAAGCUACUGUCUAUGAAAGGUCCUGGUGUUGUUUUGUUUUGUUGUUGCUUUUUGGUUGGUAAUUUUCCAGAAAUCAACUUGAUAAAACACACAUUAAUUUACAUUUAAUGGGUACAAAAACAAAGGCAACAAAAACAUAAGAACUCCUGCGCUUGCUGAACCUUAUGCUGACGUUUUCUUUCCUGACACUUUUAGCAGUGCAUUAUUAUAUUUCUUUUGAAAGCAGCAGGAAGUUUGACUCAUGUACUUUAAGUUAAAUACUCUCUUUCAGCUGUUUAAAAUUUAUUUAGGUUAAAGUAUAUUUUCUUAUGUCUGAUUUCAUUUUAAUUUGUUCUCUGUUAUAUACAAAAAUGUUGCAAACAAUCUGUACAGACUGUAAUCUGGAAGUUCAAAGUCAAAAAUUCACCCCAAAAAACAAUUUCAGUCUUUUUAAAAUGUUCUUGAUCUCUGUAAUGACUGAUAAGAAAUGCACAUGUAGCCAAAAAGUGUCUGUAGACUCAAUCAGAUUCAUAAUACACCUAUACUUCUAUGAAAAGCUACAAAUGAAAAUAAUUUUAUGCUUUUCAUCUGUUUCUGUGGAAUCAGAAGUGAAAUUGAGAAUAAGAAAAUAUUCAAGGUAUUUUACACUUGUUUUUAAGAUCUGUUCCUGUAACAUAAUUGUGCAAAUAAAUAAAAUUAUGGAUGCACAUGUCUGUUAAUAA